UUAUACUGUGAAACUGCGAAUGGCUCAUUAAAUCAGUUAUAGUUUAUUUGAUAGUACCUACUACUUGGAUAACCGUAGUAAUUCUAGAGCUAAUACAUGCGUAAAAUCCCGACUCACGAAGGGAUGUAUUUAUUAGAUAAAAAACCAAUGCGUGGCAACACGGAUAUGUGGUGAUUCAUGAUAACUUUGCGGAUCGAAUGGCCUUGAGCUGUCGAUAAAUCAUUCAAAUUUCUGCCCUAUCAACUUUCGAUGGUAGGGUAUUGGCCUACCAUGGUUU
rnacentral:rRNA from 1 species